rnacentral:rRNA from 1 species
AAUGGGCGAAAGCCUGACGGAGCAGCGCCGCGUGAGGGAUGAAGGCCUCUGGGCUGUAAACCUCUUUUAUCAAGGAAGAAGAUCUGACGGUACUUGAUGAAUAAGCCACGGCUAAUUCCGUGCCAGCAGCCGCGGUAAUACGGGAGUGGCAAGCGUUAUCCGGAAUUAUUGGGCGUAAAGCGUCCGCAGGCGGCCCUUCAAGUCUGCUGUUAAAAAGUGGAGCUUAACUCCAUCAUGGCAGUGGAAACUGUUGGGCUUGAGUGUGGUAGGGGCAGAGGGAAUUCCCGGUGUAGCGGUGAAAUGCGUAGAUAUCGGGAAGAACACCAGUGGCGAAGGCGCUCUGCUGGGCCAUCACUGACGCUCAUGGACGAAAGCCAGGGGAGCGAAAGGGAUU